AUAAAUGAGGAGACCUGGGCCAGGUACCGCAAGUACUGCUACCGGACUACAAACAGUAUGUAUGGAGACUCCUCUUUCACUCAGGUACUUCUGAAUCCUUCUCAGUCUGCAUCAGCCCAGAGCCUUUUUAGCAGUUAAUGAGAAAGAUGGUGGUCUGAGAUGCUUAACAGAUAUGUAUUUAAGAUUUAUGUUUUCGUUGUUCUAUUACAAAAAAAUGAUUGCAGAAAGAGUGCAAUUUGUCUUUUAGUUUUGCAUAGUUACAGAAGUUAUUGAAUUUCACCUUCCUUCUUAUAAGGUCACAGAGAGACAUGUUGUCAUGUUAAUCAAAAGUAAAUGUGUAUCCUCCAACCAGUUCUUGGGACUAGCAUUAAGCUAGAUCAACAUUUAUUUUCACUCACAGAAGGGGAAGUCCCUGGUGGUCUCUGUACUGGAGAAAGACCCUAAGCCUGUGCCUGCUGAGGCCAAAAAGGACCAAGGGACCCUCUCAACUGUGAACGAGAGGCCCUCUGCCACUCCCCCUCAAACGGAGUGCCAGGACACCCCUCUGCUCCCUGCCAAGGGGAGCAAAUUGACUGCUGGGUCCUCCCCUCCCGCCGCCUCCACCACCAGCUCGACUGCCAGCCCCCCAUUAGCAUCAGCCUCCGCGCCCACCCGCACCUCCUCUUCAGCCAAGCUUUCCCUCAGCCCCACCGUCAAAGAGGCAUGGAGGUCAGACAUCACUGUCGCAAAGGAAACGGCACCAGUUGCCAAGGACACCAUGAAGGCCACGGACAAGCUGCCACAAAUUGGCAGUGGAGAAGGUGCUGUGGUGCAGCCUCAGGAAGUCGAGGACAAGCCCGAGCUCACCACCUAUGAGGAGUUCCUACGGGAGGCGCGCGCCAUAGACCAGCAGCAGCGUCUGCUUAAUCAGCGCUGCGCUUCACUGACCACCUACACCCUCAGAGGGACUCCUCCAGAGUACACCAGCUACAGGCAGAGCUUCCUCAGCCUCCAGCAGGACGACAACAAGCCCAUUCUCGAAGCUCCCUAA
rnacentral:lncRNA from 1 species